GUUGGGGUUAGGUUGGGGUUAGGUGGGGGUUAGGUUGGGGUUAGGUUGGGGUUAGGUUGGGGUUAGGUUGGGGUUAGGUUGGGGUUAGGUUGGGGUUAGGUUGGGGUUAGGUUGGGGUUAGGUUGGGGUUAGGUUGGGGUUGGGUUGGGGUUGGGUUGGGGUUAGGGUGGGGGUAGGUGGGGGUUAGGUUGGGGUUAGGUUGGGGUUAGGUUGGGGUUAGGUUGGGGUUAGGGUGGGGUUAGGUUGGGGUUAGGUUGGGGUUAGGUUGGGGUUAGGUUGGGGUUAGGUUGGGGUUAGGUUGGGGUUAGGUUGGGGUUA
rnacentral:misc_RNA from 1 species